CGCGUAGGUGGUAGUGCAAGUCUGGGGUGGAAUCCCAGGGCUUAACCCUGGAACUGCCUUGGAAACUGUAUUACUUGAGUCAGUGAGGGGAGGGUAGAAUUCCUGGUGUAGCGGUGAAAUGCGUAGAUAUCAGGAGGAAGGCCUGUGGCGAAGGCGGCCCUCUGGCGCUGAACUGACACUGAGGCGCGAAAGCGUGGGUAGCAAACAGGAUUAGAUACCCUGGUAGUCCACGCCCUAAACGGUGGGUACUAGGUGUGGGGCUCGUAAGGGUUCUGUGCCGAAGCGAAAGCAUUAAGUACCCCGCCUGGGGAGUACGGCCGCAAGGUUGAA
rnacentral:rRNA from 1 species